GGGCUUCCAUAGGACACAUACUAAAACUGGGACAACACAAAGGAGAUUAGCACAGCCCCUGUGCAAGGAUGACAUGCAGAGUCCUACAAUAUGUUAUAUUUAU